AUGGAGUGCGAGAACGGGCACGUUGCCGCCAACGGCGAUGGCCUGUGUGUGGCGCAGCCGGCGCGGGCCGACCCGCUCAACUGGGGGAAGGCGGCGGAGGAGCUGUCCGGCAGCCACUUGGAUGCCGUGAAGCGGAUGGUCGAGGAGUACCGUAAGCCGGUGGUGACGAUGGAGGGCGCCAGCCUGACCAUUGCCAUGGUCGCCGCGGUGGCUGCCGGCAGCGACACCAGGGUGGAGCUCGACGAGUCCGCUCGCGGCCGCGUCAAGGAGAGCAGCGACUGGGUCAUGAACAGCAUGAUGAACGGCACCGACAGCUACGGUGUCACCACAGGCUUCGGCGCCACCUCUCACCGGAGGACCAAGGAGGGCGGCGCUCUCCAGAGGGAGCUCAUCCGAUUCCUUAACGCUGGAGCCUUCGGCAACGGCAGCGACGGCCACGUUCUGCCUGCUGCGGCGACGAGGGCAGCCAUGCUCGUGCGUGUCAACACCCUGCUUCAGGGAUAUUCUGGCAUCCGCUUCGAGAUCCUCGAGACGAUCGCCACGCUCCUCAACGCCAACGUGACACCAUGCCUACCGCUUAGGGGCACUAUCACCGCGUCUGGUGACCUGGUCCCGCUUUCCUAUAUUGCGGGACUGGUAACCGGCCGCCCAAACUCCAUCGCCACGGCUCCGGAUGGCACCAAGGUUAACGCGGUGGAGGCAUUUAAGAUUGCUGGCAUCCAGCAUGGCUUCUUCGAGUUGCAGCCCAAGGAAGGCCUUGCCAUGGUGAACGGCACAGCAGUUGGCUCAGGGCUUGCAUCCAUGGUCCUUUUCGAGGCUAACAUCCUUAGCCUCCUUGCAGAGGUCCUGUCGGCUGUCUUCUGUGAGGUCAUGAACGGCAAGCCGGAGUACACCGACCACUUGACCCAUAAGUUGAAGCACCACCCUGGGCAGAUCGAGGCUGCCGCCAUCAUGGAGCACAUACUUGAAGGCAGCUCCUACAUGAUGCUUGCUAAGAAGCUCGGCGAGCUCGACCCAUUGAUGAAGCCAAAGCAAGAUAGAUAUGCACUCCGCACAUCACCGCAGUGGCUCGGUCCUCAGAUUGAGGUCAUCCGUGCUGCCACCAAGUCCAUUGAGCGAGAGAUCAACUCCGUCAACGACAACCCACUCAUCGACGUCUCUCGCGACAAGGCUAUCCAUGGUGGAAACUUCCAGGGCACACCAAUCGGUGUGUCUAUGGACAACACCAGGCUUGCCAUUGCUGCGAUUGGCAAGCUCAUGUUUGCCCAAUUCUCAGAGUUGGUGAACGACUUCUACAACAACGGUCUUCCUUCCAACCUCUCUGGUGGGCGCAACCCGAGCUUGGACUAUGGCUUCAAGGGUGCCGAGAUUGCCAUGGCCUCGUACUGCUCCGAGCUCCAGUUCUUGGGCAACCCUGUGACCAACCAUGUCCAGAGCGCAGAGCAGCACAACCAAGAUGUCAACUCUCUUGGCCUCAUCUCCUCAAGGAAGACUGCCGAGGCCAUUGACAUACUGAAGCUCAUGUCCUCGACAUUCUUGGUCGCGUUGUGCCAGGCUAUCGACCUCCGCCACCUUGAGGAGAAUGUCAAGAAUGCCGUGAAGAGUUGUGUGAAGACUGUGGCUAGGAAGACACUGAGCACCAACAACAAUGGUCAUCUCCACAAUGCGCGCUUCUGUGAGAAGGACUUGUUGCUCACAAUCGACCGUGAGGCGGUGUUCGCUUACGCGGAUGACCCCUGCAGCGCCAACUACCCACUGAUGCAGAAGAUGCGUGCAGUUCUCGUGGAGCAUGCCUUGGCCAAUGGUGAGGCUGAGCGCGAUGCGGAGACAUCAGUGUUUGCUAAACUUGCCAUAUUUGAACAGGAGCUCCGUGCAGUGCUUCCAAAGGAGGUCGAGGCUGCCCGAAGUGCCGUGGAGAACGGUACUGCUACACAACAAAACCGUAUCACCGAAUGUCGAUCAUACCCUCUCUACCGAUUCGUGCGCAAGGAGCUUGGAACUGAGUAUUUGACCGGGGAGAAGACUAGGUCUCCCGGUGAAGAGGUGGACAAGGUGUUCGUUGCUAUGAACCAGGGCAAGCACAUUGAUGCACUACUUGAGUGUCUCAAGGGGUGGAACGGUGAGCCCCUACCUAUCUGCUGA
rnacentral:rRNA from 1 species